rnacentral:rRNA from 1 species
UACGUAGGGUCCGAGCGUUGUCCGGAAUUACUGGGCGUAAAGAGCUCGUAGGUGGUUUGUCGCGUUGUUCGUGAAAACUCACAGCUCAACUGUGGGCGUGCGGGCGAUACGGGCAGACUAGAGUACUGCAGGGGAGACUGGAAUUCCUGGUGUAGCGGUGAAAUGCGCAGAUAUCAGGAGGAACACCGGUGGCGAAGGCGGGUCUCUGGGCCGUAACUGACGCUGAGGAGCGAAAGCAUGGGGAGCGAACAGG